GGCGGCUGGCAAGUCCAUCCAGCCACUGCUACCUGUCACUCUCCAGCAGGUCCUCAGGAAAGCUUCCGGUGGAGAGUCGCUGUGUCCCCGGUUCUGGGGCAUCAUACUGCUGGCUGUUCUCAAAGUGCUGAAUGAUGUUCCUUACAUUGCCCGGCUUGACUGCAGGCAAAAAGAAAAUGAAGAACACUAUGCCUUUUGUUCCAGGAUGACUUCUUGGGGCACUCAAUCCCUUCUAGCCCGGAAGACAGCAACGAUUGACAAUAAAAAUCUGAGGCACUCCUGCUUCUGCUUCACCACAGCACACCAUGGCUUUGAGGGUUUCCCUCACUUAUGCAGAGCCCCGACUUUCGAAAGCUCAUCCGUGGAAAGGUGGCAGAGCUGGAAAAAGGCCCCAGCUUCUCCCGGGGAAAACCGUGAAGGACCUCGAAGGCUGGUCUCUGCCAGAACCAUAGGAAGCUCCACCCACCAGAGCCCAGGGGACAAGGGAAUAUGAAAUGCUAAAAGAAAAACAAAGAAAAACAAAAAGUAAACCAUGAAAUGUCAAACUGAUGCUUCAAGAGCCAAAAUAAAAAUUACAUCAAGCUGGAAAACAAAAAGGUAGUGGCAAAACUCAAGGAGAAUCUAAAGAGUCCCUUCCUCCCCCUCCCUAAUGCAGCCACUUCAGAAAGGGCACCAGGCCCGCUCUACUGUGCCCUACAGACUCCCCAGUGCUCGAGACCUAAGACACUGACAGCGAGGGCCAGCACCGACCAAUGCCCAGACACAGG
rnacentral:lncRNA from 1 species